GAGAAACCCGGGAAUUCANAAAUGGNCANUCCUGNGCCAAAUCCAGUUUUCCAAGAACAAACNAAACAAGGGUNCAGANNGCGAAAAAAGGGAUAGGUGCNNAGACUCAAUGGANGCUGUUCUAACAAAUGGAGUUGACUACCUUUUUUGGNAUUGGUAAAGAAAGUAAAAUGANUCCUUCNNUNGAAUAUCNAAACUCCAUAAAGGAUAAGUGUAUAUACNCUAUAGNAUACACAAUGAAAAACUAUCUCAAAAAUAACAACCGAAUCUGUAUUUCUUUUUCAGAAAAAGAAAAGAAUUCUUAUGAAUCGAUUCCACGUUGAAGAAGGAAUCGAAUAUUCAUUGAUCAAAUCAUUCACUCCNUAGUCGGAUCGAUCUUUUCUUUUGACUUUUGAAGAACUGAUUAAUCGGACGAGAAUAAAGAUAGAGUCCCAUUCUACAUGUCAAUAUCAAUACGGGCAACAAUGAAAUUUAUAGUAAGAGGAAAAUCCGUCGACUUUAGAAAUCGUGAGGGUUCAAGUCCCUCUA
rnacentral:precursor_RNA from 1 species